UGCAGCCGAGGGGUAUAGUUAGCUUGCUAACUAGAGACCGGCGCACGGGUGCGUAACGCGUAUGCAACUUGCCCUACUGAAAAGGAUAGCCCUUCGAAAGGAGGAUUAAUACUUUAUAAUAGAAAUCAUGGCAUCAUGAAUUUUUGAAAGAUUUAUCGCAGUAGGAUAGGCAUGCGUAAGAUUAGUUAGUUGGUGAGGUAACGGCUCACCAAGACGAUGAUCUUUAGGGGGCCUGAGAGGGUGAACCCCCACACUGGUACUGAGACACGGACCAGACUCCUACGGGAGGCAGCAGUGAGGAAUAUUGGACAAUGGGUGGAAGCCUGAUCCAGCCAUCCCGCGUGUAGGAUGACGGCCUUAUGGGUUGUAAACUACUUUUAUCUGGGGAUAAACCUACUUACGUGUAAGUAGCUGAAGGUACCAGAAGAAUAAGCACCGGCUAACUCCGUGCCAGCAGCCGCGGUAAUACGGAGGGUGCAAGCGUUAUCCGGAUUUAUUGGGUUUAAAGGGUCCGUAGGCGGAUUAAUCAGUCAGUGGUGAAAUCUCAUAGCUUAACUAUGAAACUGCCAUUGAUACUGUUAGUCUUGAGUGAUGUUGAAGUUGCUGGAAUGUGUAGUGUAGCGGUGAAAUGCUUAGAUAUUACGCAGAACACCAAUUGCGAAGGCAUGUGACUAAACAUCAACUGACGCUGAUGGACGAAAGCGUGGGGAGCGAACAGGAUUAGAUACCCUGGUAGUCCACGCCGUAAACGAUGGAUACUUGCUGUUGGAUUUUCGGACUCAGUGGCUAAGCGAAAGUUAUAAGUAUCCCACCUGGGGAGUACGUUCGCAAGAUG
rnacentral:rRNA from 1 species